UACGGAGGAUCCAAGCGUUAUCCGGAAUCAUUGGGGUUAAAGGGUCCGUAGGCGGUUUAAUAAGUCAGUGGUGAAAUCUGGUCGCUCAACGAUCAAACGGCCAUUGAUACUGUUAGACUUGAAUUAUUGGGAAGUAACUAGAAUAUGUAGUGUAGCGGUGAAAUGCUUAGAUAUUACAUGGAAUACCAAUUGCGAAGGCAGGUUACUACCAAUAUAUUGACGCUGAUGGACGAAAGCGUGGGGAGCGAACAGG
rnacentral:rRNA from 1 species